AUUGAACGCUGGCGGCAGGCCUAACACAUGCAAGUCGAACGGUAACAGGAAGCAGCUUGCUGCUUUGCUGACGAGUGGCGGACGGGUGAGUCAUGUCUGUGAAACUGCCCGAUGGAGGGGGAUAACUACUGGAAACGGUAGCUAAUACCGCAUAACGUCGCAAGCCCAAAGAGGGGGACCUUAGGGCCUCUUGCCAUCGGAUGUGCCCAGAUGGGGUUCGCUAGUAGGUGGGGUAACGGCUCACCUAGGCGACGAUCCCUAGCUGGUCUGAGAGGAUGACCAGCCACACUGGAACUGAGACACGGUCCAGACUCCUACGGGAGGCAGCAGUGGGGAAUAUUGCACAAUGGGCGCAAGCCUGAUGCAGCCAUGCCGCGUGUAUGAAGAAGGCCUUCGGGUUGUAAAGUACUUUCAGCGGGGAGGAAGGGAGUAAAGUUAAUACCUUGGCUCAUUGACGUUACCCGCAGAAGAAGCACCGGCUAACUCCGUG
rnacentral:rRNA from 1 species